rnacentral:rRNA from 1 species
AUUGAACGCUGGCGGCAGGCCUAACACAUGCAAGUCGAGCGGAUGAAGGGAGCUUGCUCCUGGAUUCAGCGGCGGACGGGUGAGUAAUGCCUAGGAAUCUGCCUGGUAGUGGGGGAUAACGUCCGGAAACGGGCGCUAAUACCGCAUACGUCCUGAGGGAGAAAGUGGGGGAUCUUCGGACCUCACGCUAUCAGAUGAGCCUAGGUCGGAUUAGCUAGUUGGUGGGGUAAAGGCCUACCAAGGCGACGAUCCGUAACUGGUCUGAGAGGAUGAUCAGUCACACUGGAACUGAGACACGGUCCAGACUCCUACGGGAGGCAGCAGUGGGGAAUAUUGGACAAUGGGCGAAAGCCUGAUCCAGCCAUGCCGCGUGUGUGAAGAAGGUCUUCGGAUUGUAAAGCACUUUAAGUUGGGAAGAAGGGCAGUAAGUGAAUACCUUGCUGUUUUGACGUUACCAACAGAAUAAGCACCGGCUAACUUCGUG